rnacentral:rRNA from 1 species
GAGUUUGAUCCUGGCUCAGAUUGAACGCUGGCGGCAUGCCUUACACAUGCAAGUCGAACGGCAGCAUGAUCUAGCUUGCUAGAUUGAUGGCGAGUGGCGAACGGGUGAGUAAUACAUCGGAACGUGCCCUGUAGUGGGGGAUAACUAGUCGAAAGAUUAGCUAAUACCGCAUACGACCUGAGGGUGAAAGUGGGGGACCGCAAGGCCUCAUGCUAUAGGAGCGGCCGAUGUCUGAUUAGCUAGUUGGUGGGUGAAGGCCCACCAAGGCGACGAUCAGUAGCUGGUCUGAGAGGACGAUCAGCCACACUGGGACUGAGACACGGCCCAGACUCCUACGGGAGGCAGCAGUGGGAAUUUUGGACAAUGGCGAAAGCCUGAUCCAGCAAUGCCGCGUGUGUGAAGAAGGCC